UACAGAGGAUGCAAGCGUUAUCCGGAAUGAUUGGGCGUAAAGCGUCUGUAGGUGGCUUUUUAAGUCCGCCGUCAAAUCCCAGGGCUCAACCCUGGACAGGCGGUGGAAACUACCAAGCUGGAGUACGGUAGGGGCAGAGGGAAUUUCCAGUGGAGCGGUGAAAUGCGUAGAUCUUGGAAAGACCACCAAUGGCGAAGGCACUUUACUGGGCUAUUACUAACACUCAGAGACGAAAGCUAGGGUAGCAAAUGGG
rnacentral:rRNA from 1 species